rnacentral:rRNA from 1 species
UCCAGACUCCUACGGGAGGCAGCAGUGGGGAAUAUUGCACAAUGGGGGAAACCCUGAUGCAGCGACGCCGCGUGAGCGAUGAAGUAUUUCGGUAUGUAAAGCUCUAUCAGCAGGGAAGAAAAUGACGGUACCUGACUAAGAAGCCCCGGCUAACUACGUGCCAGCAGCCGCGGUAAUACGUAGGGGGCAAGCGUUAUCCGGAUUUACUGGGUGUAAAGGGAGCGUAGACGGUCCUGCAAGCCAGAUGUGAAAGCCCGGGGCGCAACCCCGGGACUGCAUUUGGAACUGUAAGGCUAGAGUGUCGGAGAGGCGGGCGGAAUUCCUAGUGUAGCGGUGAAAUGCGUAGAUAUUAGGAGGAACACCAGUGGCGAAGGCGGCCUGCUGGGCGAUGACUGACGUUGAGGCUCGAAAGCGUGGGGAGCAAACAGGAUUAGAUACCCCGGUACUA